rnacentral:rRNA from 1 species
UAAGACGGAGGGUGCUAGCGUUGUUCGGAAUGACUGGGCGUAAAGGGCGCGUAGGCGGCCAUGUUAGUCGGGUGUGAAAGCCCGGGGCUCAACCCCGGAACGGCAUCCGAUACUGCGUGGCUCGAGACCGGGAGAGGAGGGUGGAAUACCGAGUGUAGAGGUGAAAUUCGUAGAUAUUCGGUGGAACACCAGUGGCGAAAGCGGCUCUCUGGCCCGGAUCUGACGCUGAGGCGCGAAAGCGUGGGGAGCAAACAGGAUUAGAUACCCUGGUAGUCCACGCCCUAAACGAUGUGCGCUAGAUGUCGGGGGGCUUGCCCCUCGGUGUCGGAGCUAACGUGUUAAGCGCACCGCCUGGGAAGUACGGCCGCAAGGUUA